rnacentral:misc_RNA from 1 species
GAAAUGCGAUAAGUAGUGUGAAUUGCAGAAUUCAGUGAAUCAUCGAAUCUUUGAACGCACAUUGCGCCCUUUGGUAUUCCAAAGGGCAUGCCUGUUCGAGCGUCAUUUGUACCCUCAAGCUUUGCUUGGUGUUGGGCGUCUUGUCUCUAGCUUUGCUGGAGACUCGCCUUAAAGUAAUUGGCAGCCGGCCUACUGGUUUCGGAGCGCAGCACAAGUCGCACUCUCUAUCAGCAAAGGUCUAGCAGCCAUUAAGCCUUUUUUCAACUUUUGACCUCGGAUCAGGUAGGGAUACCCGCUGAACUUAAGC